GACGAACGCUGGCGGCGUGCCUAAUACAUGCAAGUAGAACGCUGAAGGAGGAGCUUGCUCUUCUGGAUGAGUUGCGAACGGGUGAGUAACGCGUAGGUAACCUGCCUGGUAGCGGGGGAUAACUAUUGGAAACGAUAGCUAAUACCGCAUAACAGUAGAUGUUGCAUGACAUUUACUUAAAAGGUGCAAUUGCAUCACUACCAGAUGGACCUGCGUUGUAUUAGCUAGUUGGUGGGGUAACGGCUCACCAAGGCGACGAUACAUAGCCGACCUGAGAGGGUGAUCGGCCACACUGGGACUGAGACACGGCCCAGACUCCUACGGGAGGCAGCAGUAGGGAAUCUUCGGCAAGGGACGGAAGUCUGACCGAGCAACGCCGCGUGAGUGAAGAAGGUUGUCGGAUCGUAAAGCUCUGUUGUAAGAGAAGAACGAGUGUGAGAGUGGAAAGUUCACACUGUGACGGUAUCUUACCAGAAAGGGACGGCUAACUACGUG
rnacentral:rRNA from 1 species